rnacentral:rRNA from 1 species
AGUGAACGCUGGCGGUAGGCCUAACACAUGCAAGUCGAACGGCAGCACAGUAAGAGCUUGCUCUUACGGGUGGCGAGUGGCGGACGGGUGAGGAAUACAUCGGAAUCUACUUUUUCGUUGGGGAUAACGUAGGGAAACUUACGCUAAUACCGCAUACGACCUACGGGUGAAAGCAGGGGAUCUUCGGACCUUGCGCGAUUGAAUGAGCCGAUGUCGGAUUAGCUAGUUGGUGGGGUAAAGGCCCACCAAGGCGACGAUCCGUAGCUGGUCUGAGAGGAUGAUCAGCCACACUGGAACUGAGACACGGUCCAGACUCCUACGGGAGGCAGCAGUGGGGAAUAUUGGACAAUGGGCGCAAGCCUGAUCCAGCCAUACCGCGUGGGUGAAGAAGGCCUUCGGGUUGUAAAGCCCUUUUGUUGGGAAAGAAAAGCAGCAGGUUAAUACCCCGCUGUUCUGACGGUACCCAAAGAAUAAGCACCGGCUAACUUCGUG